rnacentral:rRNA from 1 species
GACAUGCUAGUGGUAAUGAAGCGAAAGCUAAGUGACCCGCAAGGAGCUAGCACAGGUGCUGCAUGGCUGUCGUCAGCUCGUGUCGUGAGAUGUUCGGUUAAGUCCGCUAACGAGCGCAACCCUCGCUGUGUGUUACAAGUGUCACACAGGACCGCCGGUCUUAAGCCGGAGGAAGGUGGGAUGACGUCAAGUCAGCAUGGCCUUUAUGUCCAGGGCUACACACACGCUACAAUGGUCAGCACAAUAGGUAGCCAAGCCGCGAGGUGGAGCCAAUCCUCAAAGCUGGCCUCAGUUCAGAUCGCAGGCUGCAACCCGCCUGCGUGAAGCCGGAGUUGCUAGUAACCGCAGGUCAGCUAUACUGCGGUGAAUACGUUCCCGGGCUU